rnacentral:lncRNA from 1 species
GGCCAAUUUCAGCCCAAUUCAUAGGAUCACGGCCCACAUUUUCACCCACGUUUGAAAAUUCAAUUUCGAAUAUCAUAUUCAAAUUCGAUAUUAAAUUUUUAAACCCACAACCAACUAGAAAAUAUAUGUUAUCCUAACAACCCUAUUCGAAAUUCGAUUUCGAAUUUUGAACCAACUCCUAAAAUAUCACUCAACCAACAUCCAUUCGAAUUUUGAAUACCUAUCAAUCCCACAAUCUAUUCAAAAUUCAAUUUCGAAUUUUGAAUAUCUAUCCAUCCAACAACCCAUUCAAAAUUCGAUUUCAAAUUUCGAAUUUCGAAUCCCCAACCAACUCUAAAAAUAUCUUCCAACUAUCCAACAACCCAUUCAAAAUUCGACAACUGAUUCAAAAUUCGAUUUCGAAUUUCGAAUCCCCAGCCAAUUCCCAAAAUAUCCUCCAACCAUCCAACAACCGAUUCAAAAUUCGAUUUCGAAUUUCGAAUCCCCAACCAAUUCCCAAAAUAUCCUCCAACCAUCCAACGACCGAUUCAAAAUUCAAUUUCGAAUUUUGAAUCCCCAACCAACCCCCGAAAUAUCUUCCAACCAACCACAACAACCGAUUCAAAAUUUGAUUUCGAAUUUCGAAUUCCCAACCAACCCCAAAAUAUCUUCCAACCAACCACAACAACAGAUUCAAAAUUCGAUUUCGAAUUUUGAAUUCUUAACUGACUCCUUAAAAUAUCUCUCGCCACCUCUCCUAUUAUAAAUAUGAGAAUCAAAAUCAAACGUCGGACGAUACGAUAGAUGGAAAAAAAAAAAUAGAUAGAUUGCUACACACGUUCCGACGUACAAAAUAUUCAAAGAAUGAGAGAUCACCGAGCCGCUGAAAGAAUUGGAGAUCGUCGAGCCGCUGAAAGGAGGAGAGAUUGUCGAACCGCAGAAAGGAGGAGAGAUCGCCGAGCCGCAGAAAGGAUAAG